rnacentral:miRNA from 1 species
GUUUCUCUCUCUCUCUCUCUCUCUCUUGCACCUUUUGACCAAGGUGAGAGAGAGAGAGAGAGAGAGAGAGAGAGAGAGAGAGAGAGAGAGAGAGAGAG